CCCCCACCACCCCAUCUUGCUUGUUGUGUAUGUUCUAUGCCCUUUCUUGUGCCGCUUUUGUAUCUAGCUGCUUAAUCAUUACGCUUGUGGAGUCUUGAGAUAACUAUUCCUUUACAUUGCACCAUCUUCACUUUGCUUUGCUUGUUUGAUUCGGCGUAUCAUUGGUCGCAAGUGCAUAUAUAUUCUAUCUAUUCGAGUAGAACUUACAUGAUGUAUUUUGAUUAAGCCUUUGAAAUGUUUACGUAUUCUAUGCUUGUGUAUGCAUUGUGUGACAUCUUUUUCUGGUUUCUUGUCGGCUAUGCAUCAUGUCAUGUGCUCUACUUUUAAUUGAUGAGAUUCCCUCUUUAAUGCAUUAGGUGCCCUUUUAAUAUUAUUGUAUAUACAUAAUUUAUAUAUGUAUAUAUAUAUAUAUAUAUUGGAGGGUGGACCUUGGUGCAACAAUAAUGUUGCUCUACUAUGAACAAGUGAUCAUGGGUUCUAGUCAGGAAAUAGCCUCUGCGAAGCGGGGGUAAGGCUGCGUACAUUAUGACCCUUCCCAGACCUCGCAGUGGUGGGAGCUUCAUGCACUGGGUACUCAUGUUAGUUUUCCCUCAUUUUUAACUUCUCCCUAUUGUAAAAUGUUCCAAUUUAUUGCUGGUGAUGGUAAUGUUAAUUUACGAGCUUCUUCCUAUGGUAUAGUGCAAAAUCUUGAGUGGAGCGUGUUUUCAUGGUACUAUUUUUUUAUUUUUUUGGUUGUCUUUUCAUGCAUGUUGCUUUCUGUUUGUUUUUGGGCCCGUAUUUAUGUAUUUAUUCAAUCUAGGAGUGUGCACUAGUCGUGGCACCAGUAGCAUUGCGCUUGGUAGAAAUUGCUUUAAGUUUUGUUAUCGAGAAAGUUUUUCUUCAAUAUUGUUUCAUCUUUGCUGCUACAUAAUUUUUUUAUCAUUCCCCCCUUAUGAGUAAAGAGCAUACGGUACUAUUAUUUUUAUUUGUUUAGUUCCUAGGAUACAUUGAUAGAGAUGAACUUGUUUUGAUAUAUUUUUAUCAUAUUCUGUUGGAUUCUUCUACUUCAGUGAGAUUUGAGGUUAUUAUCAAGUCUAGGCAUAUCAUAUGAAUCUGGAUGCUGAUAACUAUAUUUGUUGAACCCCUGGAACCCCAUUUGGCUUAUAAGUUCUGAUUAAAAUUUUAGGAUUAGAAGCUGCUAUAAAUGCCCUUGAAUUUCCUUGUCCCAGGAGUUGAUUUGCUGGGCCAGAUUGUCUGGUCAGAUUUACUAUCCUUAGAAAUUGGAAUCUGCACCUAGCAGAAUACUUUCAAGUUAUGAGGUUAUUUCAGUUGGUUUAUAUGGAAACUGUGAUUCACUUUAUUGUCUUAUUCUUCAGUAUUCCUCUAUGCAUUGUGUAAUUGGAUCUUGAUUUUUGGUUCAUUGAACUUUGGAAUUUAUUUAUCGUCUUAUUCUUCAGUAUUCCUCUAUUCGUUGUGUAAUUGGAUCUUGAUUUUUGGUUCAUUGAACUUUCGAAGUUAUUUUGCAAAGGAUGCUAGUACAAAACCAGAAGCUAUUUAGGCCUUUGGCCUUUAUCCAUUAUGAUUAGGAAUUUGGAUCUGAGAUCUUUACAUAUUAGCUUUCGUGCACGUAGUACUCUUUUUUCCCCUUGAGUUAUUCCACCUGGAUCCAAGGUGGUUACAUAUUUCUGCCCUUCUGUUUAAGUUGGGUCCUUCUUGUUUUAUUUUUUGAGAUAAAGCCUUGUUACUUUAUCAUACUCAGAUUGGAGAAAAUCCCCAUCCAAAGAAAGACGAUGUAGUGAAUAAGAUCUAUGUAAUAUAGAAAACAAAUAGCAUUUUUAUUUCCCUUUAUAUUUGUUACCUGGUUUGACAUAAAUUUAAUAUUGCAGAAGAUCGUAAGAAAUGGCUGGAUACAAUGGAACGUACUCAUCGUUAUCAUUUCCUGAGCAUAUAAUUCCUGUCAACCGUUAUCGGUUUCUAAUGACUGGAAGAAGCGACAUGGAGUACUAAUUGCCCUAGGUCUGAUUUCCUGGCGAUGCCAAAAGCAUAAGGAGCACGGGGAUGAAUUGUGCCCCUCUCGUUUGGAGAUGUUCAAGGUGACUUAUACAAAGAAAGAUGCAUCUUUGCAGACCCUAUUGUAGGGGAGAAGAUUGCUCUAAUGAAUGACAAACUUAAUAAACAACCUGAAGAAAGACGUGGGGAUAGUGGUGUGCAAGAUAAAAUCUUCAGGGAAAUUGUAGUUCCCAUGGUCGAGUGCGCAUGUACGGAGUUGGAUCAUCUGAAACAAGUGCAUGGGAUGGUCACACAAUGCGCUGCGUCAUAUUCCCGAGAGAAUGCAGAGCUGCAGACUGAGGCUGUGACAUUGGAGGAAAAUAUCAAUGAACAAAAAGCAGAGAUCGGUGGAUUGAGGGCUAUUGUCAUUGAACAAAAGGAAUUGAUCUCAGAAAACUAGAGCAGCUCUACUGUAUUCCAAUACAGAGGCUGUCUGGCUAGGUUUUUUUUGCUGAGUUGUGCCGUCUUUCUGGCAACACCGCAUUUUGAUGACAGUGGUGAGGCCAUGAUGAUUACUGGGCAGCUUCUACAUAGAGAAAAAAGCCUGCAGAGUUGUUUAUCUGAGUGCUGAUGCUGAUAUAGGAAUGUACUCUUCACUUUGUAUUAGUUUAUCUUUAUUUAUGUCUAUCAUAUUUAAAAAAAUAUGAGGGAAGGGAAUCCAGUACUGUUUAGUGGGGCAUGUACACAUCAUCUCAUCAUAUUGAUUUUCUAUCAAAUUAGUUUAACCACAUGUCAAGUGUUUGGGGAAUUAAUUCAACAGCUCAAUUUUUUUAAAAAUAAAUUUGGACUGAUCAA